AGUAAGCGGCGCGAGCGUGCGAGUUUCUGACGCGCCCGCGUCGUCCCAGCUCCCUGGACUACCAGUAUUGUCGCCCACGUGGGCUUCUCUUUCGUCCGCUCAGGCCUCACUUUUCUCCGUAAACACCCCGGCACGAUGGAGCGGCCCCAGCGUUCGGGAGCGGCCCGGGAGCGGAAAGCGGCAGUGUCCUGGGAGCCUCGAAAGCCGCAGGGGCGGCAGCUCGCCUCGGAAUGACCUCUGACGGAAGAAAUAAAACGGGGCCUGGGACGCUUGCACGAAAGAACCCGACAAAAACCAGAGCCCGCACUCACUCUCGUACUGGGGAGGUGGACUUCAGGGAGGGUUAUCUGGAGGAGGAAUCUCUCAAAGUACAACACAGGAGAAAGACAGUAUCGCAAUACAGAAAUUUUAUUUUUUAUUUUAUUAUUAUUUUCCUGAGACCGGAGUCUCGCUCUGUCGCCCAGGCUGGAGUGCAGUGGCGCGAUCUCGGCUCACUGCAAACUCCGCCUCCCGGGUUCACGCCAUUCGGCUGCCUCACCCUCCACAGUAGCUGGGACUACAAGCGCCCGCCACCACGCCCGGCUAAUUUGCAAUACGGAAAUUUUAAUAGCCUCAGCUUCCACGGAAUCCAUGCCCACAUCUUCAUAAUCCUCCAGAGCUGCCAGAUCCUCGCGGGCCUCGGAGAAUUCCCCCACUGCCAUGCCCUCCCCCACGUACCAGUGCACUAAGGCGCACUUGGCCGAACUUAUGGUCCAGGCAGGCCCAGGCCUCCGUGAUGGCCGUGGUGUUGCUCAGCAUGCACACCGCCCGCUGCACUUUGGCCAGGUCUCCCACAGGGACCACCGUGGGGGGCUGGUAGUUAAUGCCCACCUGUCAGAGAUGGGCAGCAUAGAAUGAAGUUUAUAUUGGCCUCAGAAAUGGGAGCUCAUUAAAAAUCAGAGCUGUGGACCAGUUCCAACACUGUGUUU
rnacentral:lncRNA from 1 species